rnacentral:rRNA from 1 species
UACGGGGGGAGCAAGCGUUGUUCGGAUUUACUGGGCGUAAAGGGCGCGUAGGCGGCGGGGUAAGUCGGGUGUGAAAUCUCAGAGCUCAACUCUGAAACUGCACUCGAUACUGCUCUGCUUGAGGACUGGAGAGGAGACUGGAAUUUACGGUGUAGCGGUGAAAUGCGUAGAUAUCGUAAGGAAGACCAGUGGCGAAGGCGGGUCUCUGGACAGUUCCUGACGCUGAGGCACGAAGGUCAGGGGAGCAAACGGG